GCAGCCAUGCCGCGUGUAUGAAGAAGGCCUUCGGGUUGUAAAGUACUUUCAGCGAGGAGGAAAGGUUAGUAGCUAAUAACUGCUAGCUGUGACGUUACUCGCAGAAGAAGGACCGGCUAACUCCGUGCCAGCAGCCGCGGUAAUACGGAGGGUCCGAGCGUUAAUCGGAAUUACUGGGCGUAAAGCGUACGCAGGCGGUUUGUUAAGCGAGAUGUGAAAGCCCCGGGCUCAACCUGGGAACUGCAUUUCGAACUGACAAACUAGAGUUUUGUAGAGGGUGGUAGAAUUUCAGGUGUAGCGGUGAAAUGCGUAGAGAUCUGAAGGAAUACCAGUGGCGAAGGCGGCCACCUGGACAAUAACUGACGCUCAUGUACGAAAGCGUGGGGAGCAAACGGGAUUAGAUACCCCGGUAGUCCACGCCGUAAACGAUGUCAACUAGCCGACUGGUGCCUUGAGCACUGGGUGGCGCAGCUAACGCAUUAAGUUGACCGCCUGGGGAGUACGGCCGCAAGGUUAAAACUCAAAUGAAUUGACGGGGGCCCGCACAAGCGGUGGAGCAUGUGGUUUAAUUCGAUGCAACGCGAAGAACCUUACCUACU
rnacentral:rRNA from 1 species